rnacentral:rRNA from 1 species
CCCUACGGGGUGCAAAAGCGAAACGACGGUCUGUUGUUCGAGAUCGAUUCUGCUUUCCAAGGGCACGAGGGGCUGGAACUCGUUCAGCGGGCUCAGCAAGAUGGACGGCCUUAUGCAGUCGGGUUCGUCGACAUGCGGAUGCCCCCUGGUUGGGAUGGCCUUGAAACCACGCUUCGCAUUUUGGCGGCUGACCAGUCGAUUCAACUGGUAAUUUGCACGGCGUAUUCCGAUUACUCCUGGGAAGAAAUGGCGGAACGCUUGGGGUGUUGCGAUCGGGUGCUGAUUCUUAAGAAACCCUUCGACCCUGUCGAAAUUCUCCAGUUUGCCCGCGCGCUGAGCGAGAAGUGGCACCUAACGCGCCUCGCCGAAGCCAAACUGCAGCAGCUCGAAGAGACAGUCCAAACCCGCACAGGGGAAUUGGCGGGGGAGC